CGUUAAAUGAAAAUUAAUUUUUAUUUCAUAAAAAAGGAAAAAUAGAUUAACCUUCCUUACAUUAAAUUGGUAUAAAAUACAAAUGUUGAAAUCACAAAAUAAAUAAUAUUAGAUAUUGGGUAAAAUAUGUUAUUCGGUGCACCUAUGCUUUUUAGUACGGACAAACUGAGAUUUGGCACUUGCACAUUAUAGUGAAUCAUAAGGAAAGGGGUUAAGGAAAAUAAAAAUUUGUAUUGUUGAUAUUUAGAUAUGAAAAAUGCAGUAACCAUUUAAAAUAUGUAAGUACUGUACACAAGUAAAAUACUGUAUUAAAAUUGAAAAUUUAGUUCUUUCAGUCAACCAGUUUUCUGCCAAAAUGGAAUGUUUCAAUGACUUAAUGGUUUGAGUUUUAUAAUUUACGAAACAUGUUAAGAUUUUUUUUUCUUAGUAACUACUUAAUUUAAAGAUUAAUCAUUUUGACUUUUAAAGGGUAGUUAUUUCCUAAAUUUUCCUUAGCAAUUCUUGACAGUUUUCGUGCGUAAUUUUUUAAAAAGACUAGCUAGGCUUUGUGUUGAAUUUUAAAAAUAAUGAAUAUUCUAAAAUAACACACAAGUUAUUAAAAAAUAUAUUUAGUAAGAUCUUUUAAUUUAGGAAAUAAAACUUUCAAGAAAAUAUAAUUACACGGAAUUAGUAUUAAUGCUCUACUCAAGCUAUACAUUGUAUUAUUUAUCUUUUAAAUAGUAAUGAACAAAGUUUUAAUGAACAAAAUCAUCGGGUUACUGCAUACACGUGUUUUGGAGUUACAGGAACUCUUUUUCAAUGUAAAGUGGUGAGCUUUUGUAUGUAAAGACCCAAAACACGGGUAUGCAGUUGUCUGCUAUUUUUGUGCAUUAAAACGUUGUUCAUUACUAUUUACUUCCCUGCACAAAGGUAUUUAUUUCUUAUUUAUCUUUUAGUUUAAAGCAACUUUUUUUUGCAGCCUUUAAGAACAAAAUAAGAUGCCUUCUUUGCACUAAGAUUUUCAAGUAGGAGAGUGGAAUUGCAAGUCCUUUCUCAUCACAGAGCAAAAUGAGAAAAUAUCUACUGAAAAGAGGGAAGGACUCCUCUGGAAUUGAGACCGAGAUGAAGAGAAGGAACAAAUAUUUAUCCGAUAAAAUUCAGAAUCUGCGUUACAAUAAAGUUUAAUUGAAUAAAUUUGAUUUUAAGUGUU